UGUGCGCUGGAGUGGGCGCCUUUCUCUCUCAUGUAUCUAGGAAUACAUAUCACAUAUACAUACCUUGUCACGAGGGCUCCCAAACAGGAAGGCUUGUGAUACCCCAUCUGUGGCAAGCCUCAACUCCGUGGCCGGGGCAGUGGACAGGAAGGCACUGUCCACUCUUCCCUCAUCCCCUGGCGGGGGUCAGCCAGGCUGAGAAGCGAUGGCCAGCCCCGAGCCCCUUUGUCCGACUCAGCGAGGCUCUUGAGAUUACCCCUCAGGGCUGAUGUCACAGCCAGCCAGGACCCUGAUCCUUCUCCUCUUGAAAGGGCUUCCGAUGCUUCCAGGCCAGGAACAUUCAUUUGCUGCUUUCUGCUCCUGAUUUACCAGCAUUGUGAGAAGUUGGCUGAGAACACUCUGCAAGGUGACCAGGAAUUCCACGUAUGAAUUUGGAAGGGACACAGUUCAACCUGGGACAAGGGACUUCCCUGGUGGUCCAGCAGUGAAGACUCCUCCUCGCUUCCGAUGCUGAGUCGCAGGGGCUGUGAUUUCCAUCCCUGGGCGAAGAGCUAAGACCCCACAUGCUGCAUG